rnacentral:rRNA from 1 species
AAUAUCCCCAUUAUGGAAAAUUCAACAUUAAUAUUAUAAUAUUUAUUUAUAAAUAUUAUAAAAAUAGUGUGCAAUUUUUCCAUAUAAGGACAUUGUAAUCUGUUAAUGUUAUGAAUAUUUAUCAUAAGAUUCAAUAUAUAAAAAGUUUAUUCAAAUUAGUUAUUUUAAACGGAUUUCUAACAUAGAAUAAAUUUAAUUGAAUUUGAUAAAUCAUUGACAGAUUUAUUUUUAUAUAGUGCUUAAAAAUUUUGAAUUUUUUACAAUAAUUUAUAUAUAUUAUAUAUAUAUUUAUAUUGUAUGCACUUAUAUGAUUAACAAUGCUAUAGAUUCAGGAUACCUUCGGGACCCGUCUUGAAACACGGACCAAGGAGUCUAACAUAUGUGCAAGUCAUUGGGUAUUUUUCAAUAAAACCCAAAGGCAUAAUUAACUUAACUGUUUUAUAUUUGGGAUUAGUUUAUAUUUUGUUAUGAAAUAUUAAUUCAAUCCCAGGGCGUUCUAUAUAAGUUAUGUAUAAUAAUAUUUAUAUUAUUUAUACCUCUAACUGGA